GGCAUUUUAAGAUUAUGGACUUAAUGAGCUUUACUAAUAGCCUAAUUUAAAAUUUAUGUUAAUACCUAGUGUUAAAAUGCCAAUUUAUUGUUGCGUUAUGAGUUUUUAAUGGGUUUUUAUGCGAAUUCAAUAGUAGAGGAGACGUGAAAGGAAACUUUUUUCCCUCUCUCUUUCUUUUUUUUUAAAGAUUUCAUUAUAUUUAAGAAACAACACAGUGACUUUCAUUUACUUUUAGAUAUUCACCACUGCGUUAAACUGUCUGAGAAAGGAGCCUGGGGCUAGCUAAAUUUCUCUCACUCCCAUUAGUAAUCUAUCAUCAUUUUUAGCCCGAAGUCACAAGACAUUUGACAGGCGAUUGUUGCUUGCAUCCUUCAACUAUACAUCACUAACUUCAAUGUUUCCUUUGCAACUCAUCAAAAGAAAAGACACUCCGGUAUUGUGUAAUGGAUCCUCCGGGCUAAACUAUCAUCUUUCUUAGUUUUUAAAUUCCCUUUUCACUUAUCUUCUAUAUAAAAAGCGUCGAUUCAGUCUUUAAUUAAUUAUUAACAUUAAGCACUUAAUAAAUCUAAUUAAAAGAAAGUAUUUAUUUUUUUUUAAAUAAGAUUAAUAGGAUAAUAACUUUCCCUCUCCUGUCGAGAUGUUUUCUUUGCAAUACGAUAGAUACAAGCAAGCAAAUUUAUAAAAAAAAAAAAAAAAAAAAUGGCGAAAAAACCUAUUACAGAAAUUAUUAAUAUGAUAAUGAAUUCCGAGGAUCAUUAAAUUUAGAAAAUAAGCUGGCACUCAUAUUGCUUGGGUCGCGACUCUUCUAGAAUGAACUGGACAAAGAUGAUAACAAAUAAUAAUAAUAAUCUUGCGACCUUGGAAGGGGAUUUAGCGAGUAUCCAUGACACAACUGCCCAUGUGUCCUUUGGAGUAAUUACUGUCUGCAUCUAUAUAUUGUUUCUCGCACUCCCGCUGUUAAACUUGAGUCCAGUUGUCAUCGGAGGAGGUGAAUCACUCUUCAUCAUCCCGUCUCGAGGGGGACAUCAACUAUAUCCCUGCGGGAACCUUGCCUAAUUAGUAAUUAAUGGUAUUUUCCGAGAGUAGAGAAAAAUCUCCCAAGAAUCCAGGUCAGUUGGGCCGCUUCUAGGAAUUUGUAGCUACCCAAACGAAACAUGCCUUCCCUGUUUAAAUAGAGAGAUUAACAUUAACGAUCCCACCGAAACAAUGUUUUCAAUGUUUAUCAGCUUUGAGGAAAGAGUAAAGUACGCCAAAGGGAUUAGAAUGAAACUCGAAUCAAGUUCUGGAUGCAUUCCGUUUUAUAUUUUAUUCAUAGAUCGAAAGAGGAAGACGACAAGGUGUAAAUAUUUCAAAGACGUAUUAAUACAACUUCCAAGUCACAAUUUUGACAAUUUCGAUCUAUCAAUAACCCGAGGUCGUCAGUCGGCAAUAACUUUCUAUACCGAUACCCAAUCUUUUCCUACUCGAAAUCUAUUCUUAAUGGACCACUUUUAAUGAUAGUACAACUCUAUAGAUCCAUCCAGAAAACCAGAUUUCCCCCCUUUUCUUAACCCCUCGAAAGAAUCGAUAUUAAAGCCAGCCCACAUAGCUUUUUUUUUAUAUUAUAAAUCGAUAAUAUUUG
rnacentral:lncRNA from 1 species